GACGUAGGGCGCGAGCGUUGUCCGGAUUUAUUGGGCGUAAAGAGCUCGUAGGCGGCUUGUCGCGUCGACUGUGAAAACUCGGGGCUCAACUCCGGCUGCAGUCGAUACGGGCAGGCUAGAGUUCGGUAGGGGGAGACUGGAAUUCCUGGUGUAGCGGUGAAAUGCGCAGAUAUCAGGAGGACACCGGUGGCGAAGGCGGGUCUCUGGGCCGAUACUGACGCUGAGGAGCGAAAGCGUGGGGAGCGAACAGG
rnacentral:rRNA from 1 species